UCAUCUCUAGUCUUCUCUCCUCCACCCUUCUCCCUGAGUGCAGUUAGCAGCCAUUCCCUCCCAGAUAGAAACAUAUAAAUUAUUUGUUUUCUCCAUAAUUUGUACAUCACUAGUUUCUUCUUGUAUAAUUGUGUAACUAUGAAAAUUAACCAACCAGGAAACCAAACUAACAACAUUAUUGAUCAGUCAUGGUAAAAUAAUAUGCAUUGCAUGGCUUUCUGUUUUAAAACAGGAAGGAGGGAAUCCAAAAUAAACGAGGUGCUGGGCAGGGUUUUUCCGCCCUAAAAACAGUAUGUGUGACCUUGCUAUGCUGGAACUACUGGGUGGUUGUCACUUCAGUGUUUUCUCUCUCUCUACCUCUGCUGCAUCUCCUCCUCUGUUUAUUCUCUCUUCUACCCUGUACUGAGGGUUAGCUGUAAUCCCUAUAGAGGUUGACACAUCCUCCUCUACCCUGUGCUGAGGGUUAGCUGUAAUCCCUAUAGAGGUUGACACAUCCUCCUCUACCCUGUGCUGAGAGUUAGCUGUAAUCCCUAUAGAGGUUGACACAUCCUCCUCUACCCUGUGCUGAGGGUUAGCUGUGAUCCCUAUAGAGGUUAGAUGUGAUCCCUAUAGAGGUUAGAUGUGAUCCGUAUAGAGGUUAGAUGUGAUCCCUAUAGAGGUUAGCUGUGAUCCCUAGAGGUUAGAUGUGAUCCCUAUAGAGGUUAGCUGUGAUCCCUAUAGAGGUUAGAUGUGAUCCCUAUAGAGGUUAGCUGUGAUCCCUAUAGAGGUUAGCUGUAAUCCCUAUAGAGGUUAGCUGUGAUCCCUAUAGAGGUUAGCUGUAAUCCCUAUAGAGGUUAGCUGUGAUCCCUAUAGAGGUUAGCUGUGAUCCCUAUAGAGGUUAGCUGUGAUCCCUAUAGAGGUUAGCUGUGAUCCCUAUAGAGGUUAGAUGUGAUCCCUAUAGAGGUUAGCUGUGAUCCCUAUAGAGGUUAGCUGUGAUCCCUAUAGAGGUUAGCUGUGAUCCCUAUAGAGGUUAGCUGUGAUCCC